UUGAAAGAUCUACGAAGAACGCAUUUUCCCGCAGAAAAGCAUAAACGGCUACUUCCUCUUAACCGCCUUUGCUUUUUUGAAGAAUUGGAUCCUAUAUUGAGACACAUUGUUUAAUAAUGUAGAGCAGGAAAGGAGAUCUUCAGAGGAGAUGGCAAUUCAACAGUUCUCUAAGUGUAAUUUUUCCUUCCUAGUUCAUUUUAAUUCAAUUUGAAUACCCAAAUGAAAUGAGUAAUCUGUGGAGAAGAUCAGGAGAGGCUUACCUCAGGCUUGGCUUAAGAUUUGCAUUUUUAAGGGUUGUAUCAGUUGAUAGAGGAGCCUGGUUUUGGAUCUCUAAUUCUUCAAUUUGUGGGUAAUAUUUGCUAGCUUCUUUUAUUCGAACACAAGGCAUAUGAACAACAAGAUAGCAGGUAUAUCACCACUUUGAAGGUAGAAGAUGAGGGUGAUAUCAGUUGACAGAGGAGCCUGGAAUUGGAUUCCUAAUUCUUCAAUUUGUGGGAUUGAAUCAGGCAGCUUUUUUGAUACCCAAGAUUUAUAGGUGUGGAAGGCAGAGGGACAAUACCACCUCAGAAGUAAAAGAGGCAAACACAAUCCUGAAGUCAUCUCUAUUGAAAUGGAAAGGAAAUCUUCUUCAGAGAUGUCAAUUCAUUAACUCUGUAAGUGUAAUUUGUCUACUCCAAUUCAUUUUAAUUCAAUUUGAAUAUCCUAAUAGUUUGAAGUUUUAAUGAAAUAAGUUAUCUAUGGAGAAGAUCAGGAGAAGCUUAUCUCAGGCUUGGCUGGAGAAAAUUGAGUAUGAAAUAUUACUUCUGGAAA